ACAGAAUGAGGUUAAGAAGAAGUCGAGGAGUUCGUUUUACUGGACCGCAGCUUAUAGUUGGUGUGGUUUUGGGCAUAGCCAGUGGAAUAUACGUCUGGAAACCCGAAUUUGACAGGCACUACGGCAGCAACGUGUCACAAGAAGAGCUAGACAGAGAACGGCAGAAAACGUUGGCAAAUUUUGACUUGCCGGAGAGCCAGAGCAAAGCAGACGCCCCGCCGAAGCCGCGGUCUUAGGUUAUUUGACUCUCAGGAGAAACUCCUACAACGCGUUGUCUUCUCAAUGAAGCUGGGCCCUUCAGGUCGUCUGUUUAUAGCCACUGCUAUCGGUUCCUUUUGCGGCUGGUUUAUCGUCGAGCCUAUCACUUGGGCUUACCACAAUAAGUUUGGCAACGACAAGAAGAAAGAUCUCCCGCCUCCAAAGUACCAGUGAAAUCAAGUGCAUUUUCUCAUCAUGGCCAAUCAAACUACUGCUGACCCUACAAAGCUGUCCCUCAAGAGUAUUGCUGCAAAAAUUUGGACUCCCACCAAUGCAGGAACACGUCUCAUAAAAUAUUCAAUUAUAGGAGGUGCACUAGGACUCGUAUACUUUCAACUUUUAAGGCCAGGUAUCCAAGAAUACAAGUUUCGCAGGGAUGAUGAAUUUGCCAGACAGCUGAUUGAACUUGAGUUGAAGAGUCAAAAGAAGUCCUGAUUUCCUGUAUCCACUAGAACUGCUCGUUUUUAGAAAUUAAAAUUCUUUAUUAGUACCUGUUA